rnacentral:misc_RNA from 1 species
AACGCACAUUGCGCUUCCUGGUUACUCCGGGAAGCAUGCCUGUUUGAGAAUCGAUAAACACUCUCAACAAUCAUGUUUUUUUUUCUUCGGAAGAAAAACAUGUGAGUUGGGGAUUUGGGUGCAUUUUUGUUAUCCAGACUCUUCACGGGGUCCGGCGCAAUCACCUGCAAAUGAACAUUCGGGGGCAAUCCAACAGUGGUUUUGCAUCUCACCUAAGUGUGUGAAUGAGGUUCAGUCCUUUUUACUUUCUUGGUGUGAAGAUGCAUGCUUAUGAUCAUCUGUAUACGAUUCUCCUUGUCAAAAUGUCCAUCUUUUUGUUUUGAUGGACAACUGGAAUCGGGCCCGGGAAAGCAGUUUCCCAUCGCCUGGUUCCUUUAUACUUGGUCUCAAAUCAGGUAGGAAAACCCGCUGAACUUAA